CCUACGGGUGGCUGCAGUAGGGAAUAUUGCUCAAUGGGGGAAACCCUGAAGCAGCAACGCCGCGUGGAGGAUGAAGGUUUUAGGAUUGUAAACUCCUUUUGUCAGAGAAGAUUAUGACGGUACCUAACGAAUAAGCAACGGCUAACUACGUGCCAGCAGCCGCGGUAAUACGGAGGGUGCAAGCGUUACUCGGAAUCACUGGGCGUAAAGGGUGCGUAGGCGGGGUAAUAAGUCAGGUGUGAAAUGCUGGAGCUGAACCACAGAACUGCAUUUGAAACUGUUACUCUGGAGUGUGGGAGAGGUAGGUGGAAUUCUUGGUGUAGCGGUAAAAUGCGUAGAGAUCAAGAGGAAUACUCAUUGCGAAGGCGACCUGCUGGAACAUUACUGACGCUGAUGCACGAAAGCGUGGGGAGCAAACAGGAUUAGAUACCCGAGUAGUC
rnacentral:rRNA from 1 species